AAAGAAAUCAGUUCAGCACUAAGUCACUUUGUCUAUAUGGCAAAUGUGAGAUGCAGUGUACGGAACAUCAACAUUCUAGUAUGAGAAGUUAACGAUUUAAGUCCUUCUUAAAUGAGGCCAUUUACCCAUAGAGGGUGCCAGGCCCGUAUAACGUUAAUGAUUACUAGAUGGUGUUUCCAAAGAGUCGUGUUGCUUGAUAGUGCAGCACUAAGUGGGUGGUAAACUCCAUCUAAAACUAAAUAUAACCAUGAGACCGAUAGUAAACAAGUACCGUGAGGGAAAGUUGAAAAGAACUCUGAAUAGAGAGUUAAAUAGUACGUGAAACUGCUUAGAGGUUAAGCCCGAUGAACCUGAAUAUCCGUUAUGGAAAAUUCAUCAUUAGAAUUGUAAUAUUUUAAACAAUAUUAUAAUAAUAGUGUGCAUUUUUUCCAUAUAAGGACAUUGUAAUCUAUUAGCAUAAAUAUUUAUCAUAAAAUUAUGUCUGAUUGCUUAUUUGAAUUAUAUGCUUGGCAUUUUAACAUAAAAUAAAAGAUAUAAAUUUGAUAAAGUGCUGAUAGAUUUAUAUGAUUACAGUGCGUUAAUUUUUCGGAAUUAUAUAAUGGCAUAAUUAUCAUUGAUAUUUGUGUUUAUUAUAUGCAUUUGUAUGAUUAA
rnacentral:rRNA from 1 species